CGGUUGAUCCUGCCGGAGGCCACUGUUAUUGGGAUUCGACUAAGCCAUGCGAGUCGAGGGUUGUUCGGCAACCCGGCGAACUGCUCAGUAACACGUGGAUAAUCUGCUCUCAGGUAGAGGAUAAUCCCGGGAAACUGGGGCUAAUACUCUAUAGGAAAAAGUGUCUGGAAUGAACUUUUUCCGAAAGAUUUUUCGCCUGAGAAUGAGUCCGCGGCCGAUUAGGUAGUUGGUAGGGUAAAUGCCUACCAAGCCUACGAUCGGUACGGGUAGUGAGAGCUAUAGCCCGGAGUUGGGACCUGAGACACGGUCCCAGGCUCUACGGAGCGCAGCAGGCGCGAAACCUCCGCAAUGCCCGAAAGGGUGACGGGGGAAUCCCAAGUGCUGGCGUUUUGCGUUGGCUUUUCUUAAGUGUAAGGAGCUUAAGGAAUAAGGAGAGGGCAAGACCGGUGCCAGCCGCCGCGGUAACACCGGCUCUUCAAAUGGUGGCCGUUUUUAUUGGGCUUAAAGCGUUCGUAGCUGGAUAAGUAAGUCCCUGGCGAAAUUCUAUCGCUUAACGAUAGAGCUUGCUGGGGAUACUGCUUAUCUUGAGACCGGGAUAGGCUAGAGGUACUCCUAGGGUAGGGGUGAAAUCCGUUAAUCCUAGGGGGACCACCUGUGGUGAAGACGUCUAGCUGGAACGGGUCUGACAGUGAGGGACGAAACCCAGGGGAGCAAACCGGAUUAGAUACCCGGGUAGUCCUGGGCGUAAACGAUGUGGGCUAGGUGUCACAUGAUCUUAGUGAUUAUGUGGUGCCGAAGGGGAAACCGUUAAGCCCACCGCCUGGGAGUAGUACGCACGCAAAGUGUGAAACUUAAAGGAAUUGGCGGGGGAGCAC
rnacentral:rRNA from 1 species